GGUGUCUAGUGCUGUGGCUGGGACCCUAUAUGUACUGUUGAUGAAGUUAGGUGCUGUUCUGAGAAUUAUUUGUGGCUAUAAAGUGGCUUUUUGGUUGAGUGUCUGGCUCUCUGUAUUGCUAUCCUGCGGUCAUUACUAAAGUUUGUAUAACUAGAAAAGCAAAUGGUCGGCAACAUUGAUCUCUCGAGGGGGUGUCUAACUCAUUAAUUUUACACCAGAAUAUCCCUUUAACUUGUUUAUAUUUUGCAGAACUCAUUUUAUAAUUUGAGCUUAUUUUCCUAACAACCACUAAACAAAGUUAACAUGAGCUAUUCUUUAAUUCCUAUUUUGAAUAGUGAUGAGAUAAAUGGUUUAUGACUUUGUUAUUUUUACUCUACAGAGCACCAGUUUUGUAGCAAUGUCAAACAAUCCCAGCAUUUUCUCGGACACCCUUCAUUUCACAUUUUAAUUCCAUUUUGUUUUAUUCCAUUUAUGUUUUGGAUGAGUGACCAAGUGCUGGAGGGUGACAGUGAUUUUGGGUGAACGUGGUGUUUAUGACACUGAAAAGCAGCACGUGUAUGACUUUCAGUAGGCAGCAGAUGGCCCCCAUAUCGUUAGAUGAUGAGUGAUCAGGUGGUUUGCUAAUGAUGAGAUGAUUGGUUUGCUGCCCACAACUACUGCAACAUUUUUCACUAGCCCAGGCACAGCCAUCACACUCUCGCCUAUUGUUCUGCUGUGAAAACUGAAGAAGCAGACAUCAGAACCACUGUACUGAUGGACGUCACUGUGGAUUUGCCUUCAUUGACACUAUGGCCAUUAGGGGGUGCUGCUGAACUUUUUAAAAUAUUGCUUGUGAAGCCAUACUCUGAACCUCACUGCUGGCCACGCUUUAACUUAUGCUUCACAGCUUAACAUGCAAGUUAAUACCCCUUACCUCUCCUGUAGGUAUACGCAGGCACAGUAAGUGCCUCCUCACUAUUUUGUAAAUACCAAAAAAAAAAAAAAAAAAAAAAAAAAAGCUUGAUGAUAAAUUCAGCAUUAGUGCAUUAGUAGAAGGGAAGGUCAGCAGCUUUGUAGUAGGAUUUGAUUUGCAGCUUUAUUAAGUUUAACUUGCUUCUGUGUAAAUUUGAAUGUGAUCAACAGUCACGAAUGUCACACCAGAUGCUGUUGCAACAAAAAUUUAUAAUGCUCGCUGCUGUUAGCCGAGGCUCAGAGGGGCCUAAAAAGCAAUCUUUAAGGGGAGAUCAGAAAGUGUCAGACCCCCUUUUGCAAGAAUUUACUAUGUAACGGGUGAAACCUGCUACAAAAUGGUAGCUUAUAACAUUUGCAACUAAAAUGUGCCAGUAAACUUUUUAAUAAAUAAAGCUGCGUGUGUGUG